UCUGGUGGCUCAGACGGUAAAGCAUCUGCCUGCAAUGCGGGAGACCCGGGUUCCAUUCCUGGGCCAGAA
rnacentral:tRNA from 1 species